rnacentral:lncRNA from 1 species
AGCUCGGGGCAGGGUGGGCGCGAGAGAGCCUAGAAGCCCAUGUAGCCGCGAAUCCCGCAGCCCCAGUACACCUCCCUCCGUGCCUCCCCGCCUUUUCUGCAGAGCUCCGCCCUGGAGUGAAGGAGGAGCCGUCACCUGGAGCUCCGAAAAAAGCAGAAGAAGCCUAGUUGGAAACUUGUGGAUGCUGUGACCUCAAGAAGACUUGGCAUUUUAUUUGGAAGAUAGACAUCUAUUUGCAACUGUCCUGAGCCCCUAUUUUCCUCCCACCUUUCUUGGGGAAACUUGUUUUUAAGGGAUGCCACUGUUUUUGUAACAUGUUGCUCCUAGCUCUUAGCAUUCAUGGUACUGUUGUAACCGUCCAGUGGGUUCACUUUGUCUGCUAGAUAGAGCCGAUUUAUCAAGACGGGGAUUACAAUGGAGAAAGAGUAAUUCACGCAGAGCCGGCUUUGCAGAUAAAACUCUGCAAAGACAAUGUCUAGCACUUAUAUCUCCAGUAACUCCUGUCAAGGUUUAUUGUUGCUUGUUCAUCAUUGCAGUCCUGACUACAAGUGUGAUUGCACUUUCUAUUGUUUUGUCAGAAUUUCCUGAAAAGAUACAAAGGCCCUUCUGACCAUUGGAUUGGCCUUAGAAGAGAAUCAUCCCAUCGCAUUUGGAAAUGGACAGACAACAUGGAAUAUAAUAACAUGCUUGCUAUCAGAGGAAGUGGAGAAUGUGCCUUCCUGAAUGACAAUGGAGUCAACAGUGGCAGAAUCUACAUGAACAGAAAAUGGAUUUGUAGCAAGCCAAACAAUUAUGUCUACAGUUGCCA